UACGGAGGGGGCUAGCGUUGUUCGGAAUUACUGGGCGUAAAGCGCACGUAGGCGGCUUUGUAAGUUAGAGGUGAAAGCCCAGGGCUUAACCCUGGAAUUGCCUUUAAGACUGCAUCGCUAGAAUCGUGGAGAGGUGAGUGGAAUUCCGAGUGUAGAGGUGAAAUUCGUAGAUAUUCGGAAGAACACCAGUGGCGAAGGCGACUCACUGGACAAGUAUUGACGCUGAGGUGCGAAAGCGUGGGGAGCAAACAGG
rnacentral:rRNA from 1 species